CUAUUUUCCUUUCGCGCGGCUUCUUAGACACGCUUUUCAUCCCUAUCAUUCAAAAACCCUAAUUUUUCUUUAAUCCUCCUGAACAUCUCUGAUCUCUCCCUAACUCUUUCAUUUUCUUUCAUGGAGAUAGCGAUUUCAUACAUCUGUGAUUGUCUUACACACUGAUUAAUCUCUAGCAGAGUCGAUUCUCAUCAAAACGAUUAAUGGAAUCCCUGAAGUGUAACCAGUGGAAUUGAAUCUAGUCGUCCAUCGAGAAACCCUAAAAUCUUCAGAAAAGUUUGAAGCUUGAGAGAGAGAGACAAUGGAAACAAGUGGUGGUUGGAGCCAUCCAUCCAGUGGUGAUGUUUGGGUUCCGUUUAGAGCACUGGCGACGUCGACGACGGGUAGAUUUCUUUCACUUAAAGGAUAUAAAAGAACAAAUAACGGUCAUGGGGGAUUGGAGUUUUCUAUGGGGAUUCACUCUCUUCUCUUAAACCUAUUGAAGAACUUACGCGCUAUCUAGGUGGCCUUCAAAUGGUUAAAGGCAGAAAACCAGUGGUAUUGGUGGUUUUGCAGUGCAGCAUAUUGAACAGACAUGAAUCAAAAUUCUACAAAUACUUUUGCUUCCCAAGUAAAUAAAAGAACAUUAAUCAACUUACUUUUUGCGGUAGCUGGUGAUGUAGCCAUCUGGUCAAGCCGGCUGGACUAUCUGGAUUUCACUCAACCGUACACCGAGUUAGGUUUGGAGAUGGUGACAAGUUACAUAGCAAUUUGUCAAGAAUGGUGGUGGUUGUGUGGCUCUUUGUGGCACUAAUCAUCACACAGAGCUACACGGCUAGCUUCACGAUCAUGCUCACGGCUCAAAGGGUGGAACCCACAAUAACCAACAUUGAGGUGCUCAGGAACACGAAUGAAACAGUAGGGUACUGAUGAGUUUUUAUAAAAGCAAGUAUUUUUUUAACAAGGCUCGAACGCGUGGUUUAAAUAGCUCGAAAGGGUGUGGAACUCGCUAAAUUGGAAUGAAAAACUAAGCCUCAUUACCUCGGUUCUUCGUGGCAUAACAUCUGCUGACCGGUCAAAGAUAAGCUUUAAGGCUGGAUCAUUUGAACAUAUACCAUUCAAUGGUUCUUAUGAUGAACUCAUGAUACAAAUACCUUUAAAGAAAUUCGAUGCAGUAGCUGGUGAUGUAGCCAUCAGGUCAAGUUAGCUGGACUAUCUGGAUUUCACUCAACCGUACACCGAGUCAGGUGACAAGUUACAUAGCAAUUUGUCAAGAAUGGUGGUGGUUGUGUGGCUCUUUGUGGCACUAAUCAUCACACAGAGCUACACGGCUAGCUUCACGAGCAUGCUCACGGCUCAAAGGUUGGAACCCACAAUAACCAACAUUGAGGUGCUCAGGAACACGAAUGCAACAGUAGGGUACUGAUGAGUUUUUAUAAAACUUGGCCAGUUGGGGUUAUUUAGAGACCAAGAGGUUGGGGAGUUAUCUGUUUGGGCCCAUGAUGGUUUUAUUAUUUGGGCCUUAGUUAUUGAAGCCGUGAAGAUGUCCACUGUGGAGAUUCAAGUUAAAUUUGGUUGAAGGCCCAUGUGUACUUGGGUUGCUUCAUGUUAUUGUUAUAUUUGAUGAUUUCGCUAUUUUAGUGUAUUGGUUGUAUUAGCGUGUCAGCAGAGAAGGAUACUAUUCCUACUAUAAUUUUCAUUGUAGUAGGUAUUGUAUGGUUUCAUUUUAAUAGGGUCCCUAAAGCAUGUUUUGUGUGUGCCAGUGUUAGGUAGCUUAGGGAUAUGGCCCUUUAAACAUGUAACAUUCCUUUUAAUUAUAAAAGUUUGUUGGAUGGGUCCCAUCCCAAAAACACGUA